UAAUAAUGUAAAAUAAAAGAAUAUUGCAUUUAUUUACUGUAACUUACCUUGAUACAAAAUGUGACUAAACUUUACAAUUUAGUCCUUUACUUUUUCUUUUCCCCGAUCUACUCCCGAAUUUCGUUCUUCUUGAUCUAUAAUAGCAAAUUUAACUUAUUUAAUAUUCACAUUUAUUAAAACAGUCCUUGACCCAAACUUUGGAAAAAUUAUAUUUUUACCCCUAAACUUUCACAUAUUUGCACUUUUGCCC
rnacentral:lncRNA from 1 species